GUGAGGAAUAUUGGUCAAUGGGCGGGAGCCUGAACCAGCCAAGUCGCGUGAAGGAAGAAGGAUCUAUGGUUCGUAAACUUCUUUUGCAGGGGAAUAAAGUGCAGGACGUGUCCUGUUUUGUAUGUACCCUGAGAAUAAGGAUCGGCUAACUCCGUGCCAGCAGCCGCGGUAAUACGGAGGAUCCGAGCGUUAUCCGGAUUUAUUGGGUUUAAAGGGUGCGUAGGUGGUUUGAUAAGUCAGCGGUGAAAGUUUGCCGCUUAACUGUAAAAAUGCCGUUGAAACUGUCGGACUUGAGUGUAAAUGAGGUAGGCGGAAUGCGUGGUGUAGCGGUGAAAUGCAUAGAUAUCACGCAGAACUCCGAUUGCGAAGGCAGCUUACUAAGCUACAACUGACACUGAAGCACGAAAGCGUGGGGAUCAAACAGGAUUAGAUACCCGGGUAGUCC
rnacentral:rRNA from 1 species